GAGUGAAGCGGCAACAGCUCAAAUUUGAAAUCUGGCUCUUUUAGAGUCCGAGUUGUAAUUUGCAGAGGGCGCUUUGGCUUUGGCAGCGGUCCAAGUUCCUUGGAACAGGACGUCACAGAGGGUGAGAAUCCCGUACGUGGUCGCUGGCUAUUGCCGUGUAAAGCCCCUUCGACGAGUCGAGUUGUUUGGGAAUGCAGCUCUAAAUGGGAGGUACAUUUCUUCUAAAGCUAAAUAUUGGCCAGAGACCGAUAGCGCACAAGUAGAGUGAUCGAAAGAUGAAAAGCACUUUGGAAAGAGAGUCAAACAGCACGUGAAAUUGUUGAAAGGGAAGCGCUUGCAGCCAGACUUGCUUACAGUUGCUCAUCCGGGUUUUUACCCGGUGCACUCUUCUGUAGGCAGGCCAGCAUCAGUUUGGGCGGUAGGAUAAAGGUCUCUGUCACGUACCUCCUUUCGGGGAGGCCUUAUAGGGGAGACGACAUACUACCAGCCUGGACUGAGGUCCGCGCAUCUGCUAGGAUGCUGGCGUAAUGGCUGUAAGCGGCCCGUCUUGAAACACGGACCAAGGAGUCUAACAUCUAUGCGAGUGUUUGGGUGUCAAGCCCGAGCGCGUAAUGAAAAGUGAACGGAGGUGGGAACCCGCAAGGGUGCACCAUCGACCGAUCCUGAUGUCUUCGGAAGGAUUUGAGU
rnacentral:rRNA from 1 species